AUUGUGGAGGAUUUGUUUGCAGGCCGUGAGGUCAGCUCCUCUUAAAUGCAUUAGCAGAAAUAAUCUUUCGUGAGCUGCCAUUGGUGUGAUAAUCUUUAUGCCAUUGGGGGUUCAAGGAAACUGCUCAUAAACAGUCUUUAAUUAGACAAACAUUUUGACCAUCUGACCUCAAAUCAGGUAGGACUACCCGCUGAACUUAA
rnacentral:misc_RNA from 1 species